GCAUAUUUGCUAUGUGUUGCUAUUAAUUUCAGAUGAUUUAAUUUGAAAUAAUCUAAAAGACAGCAUCUAAUACAAAUAUUUGUUUCCCCCACUUUCCCCACAAAGAAGGAUGGGAGGAGGAUGGGGGAAAGAAAAGGAACCAGCUUUCCCUCCUAACUCUUCUAGUUCUCUCAGGUAAUCUCUGAUUCAUACAAUUAGACUUUUAGGAACUGAAGGAAUCUCAGAGAUCAUUGAAAACAAUACCCAAUGUUUAUAGGUGAGAACUCUGAGGAAAGCAAAAUGACUUGACUAAAUUAAGCUAUUUAGGAUAAGAAAUGGAAGUAGAACCCAGACACUUAGAUUAGUACCCCAAACGCACUAAAUCUAAUCCUUUAGUUCUCAGUCCUAGUGGCACACUAGAUCUAAUCACCUGUGUACUUCUUUUUAAAAAUACACUUUUACUACCUCUGGAGUGAGAUCCAGGUGUGUAUUUUUAAAUUUCAAAUUGAUAAAGAGUCACCAAAUCCUGCGGAUUGUUCUGCGAUGUCAGGCUCCUUCCCUGCUUUCUGACCUCAUUUCCAUCUCCCCAGCCAAGCCCUAUUGGUCCAGGCCUGGCUCCUAUGCUUCCGGUUUUCCCCCUCAAUACAAGUUUGCCAUGUGAAAUUUUCCUAAAGCACUUCUCAACGUUUAGUGCAUAGAUGAGUCAACCAAGCUCAUGUGUAAGAGCUAACUCCUGGGUCUACUGUUUGCAAUUCUUAGUAGGUCUGGGGCAAAGCCUGGGAAUCUGCAUAUUUAACAUGCAAUGGAGAGGAGGUUGUUUCUCAUGCAAGUGGUCUAAGGAUGACAUCAUGAGAAACACUACUCCAGUAUAAUAUCUAUUAAUCCUCCUACAAAGCAUUCAGGCCCUAUGCCAUCAGCCCAUCCUCUUCCAUCUUGCUUUUCAUUUUCACUUCAUCCCAACUUGCCGUGCUCCCAGUAAAGCAUGUUCAACCUCAACCCCAACUCUACCUUCUUCCUGUAUUCUUGUUCCCUUUCCCAGGAAUUCUCCACUACUUUACCAUGCCUUCCUAUAUUAAUACAAUGCAUACAUCAAGGCCUAGUUCACUGUCUGCUUCUAUGAAAACUCCUCUUUCCUACAUUGAUUUCUCUUUCUUCAUGUCUAUAAAUGGUGUUAUUUUACAUAAUUUAUCACCUACACAACAUCCUAUGAAACUUCUGAGUGAAGCCCAUCUUAAUUGUGUAAGUUCUUAAGUAACAAGUCCAUAUCAUAUCUUUUUAAAACACUAAAACAUCUAGUAUUCCAGGAACAAAAUAGCUGCUUAGUAAAAUAUUUUUAAUUGGGUUGGAGAACUCAAUGAUUAAAUCUAAGUUGUGUUUAUUUGUUUUUGCAUUCAAAAAGAGUGAAGUAGAGUGUCUCAUAAGGUUUUUUCACAGCUUGGUGGAAAGUGCCAAUGUAAGAUGCAGUAAUUGGAUUAGAUCAUAACGUGUUUCGAGCAAUCCUACACAGCAUAUUUAGAAGGACUGAUGAUAGGCUGAUGAAAGGGGUAAGAAGUCAUAAGAGACUGAAGUGGGCCAAGCUAAGAUGGCAUAAAUAUAUUUAUAUAUAUUAAUAUAUGGCAAUAAAAUAUAUGCAAGUAUAUAUUUUAAAUGGAAAAUAUUAUAAGUAUAUUCAACUUUCAUCAAAAACUGAAUAUUUUAAUGCCAAGCUAGAAAGACAAAAUUCUAGUAAUGCUGCAGAUAUAAAGCAGUAGUUGAUUUGAUUGUGAAGAUAGUUUUUAAUAUAAACUCAUUCAGAAUUUCCUAUUUUAUAACUACCACUUUGAGAGAAAACCAUUAAUGAACUAAGUAACCUAGCAAAAUUGUUUUUUAAAAGGUAAGCAUAUGACUUUUAAUCAUGAUGUCUUUGGAUUCAUAUGCUAUAGACAUGUAAAUUAUUAAGUCACUUCUUUUCCCUUAUAAAAAUGAAGAAUAACAGUGCAAAAAAUAGUACUCGUUAUACUGGUAAAAUUAAAAGAUCAUAUGUUUAAAAUAGGAAAUUAUUUAAUGUGACCCAGUUUCACUAACAGAUUUUGUGUUUAUUGAUUAGUUUUGACAUUUCUAUACACCCUUGAAGCCAUACCAUAGUAAAAAUAAUUAACAUAUUCAUCAGCCUGAAAGAGUUGAUAAUAUUUUCUAUGCAAUAGUACAAAGAUUUCAUUGGUAUUUUUUUGAAAAUGUGUUAUUCAGUAAUUUAUCUUUAGGUAUUCUACAAAUUCUUCAGAACAGGAUUUUGCCACUCUUUUUUAGAAUAAAAAUAAUCACAUUGAUUAGCUCCACUGUUGAUCAUCUUGGUUCAUCUCAAGUUAAUCAUUGAUCAGGGAGGAGAAUGAUUAUUUUCUUUCUGUAAAAGUCUCGGGGACACAUUUACUGUUACUUUGACUCUUUCAAGGAAGAGUAUGCCAAAACCUUUUCUUACCCUCAAUUUGAUAGGAAAGAUUUUUAUCUGUUCAUGCAUACAUACAUACUCUUGAAUUAUCAAAUAACUGUAAAUUACAGUACACUUACGUGUUCUUUUUCUUUCAGUAUUUUUUGCAUUUGACAAAGAAUGAUAACUGCAUCAAUGCACAAGAAUGGGUUAAAGGACUAACAGUGUUUCUUCGAGGGACUUGAAGAAAAACUGAAAUUCUGUUUUGAAGUUUAUUACUUGAAUGGUAAUGGCUGUAUUUCUCCAGAGGAAAUAUUUGACAUGUUGAAGAAUAGUCUACACCAAUUGUCAUCUGAAGAAGAAACUGAUGAAGGAGUAAAAGAGUUAGUAGAUUAACUCUGAAGAAAAUGACUUUGAAAAAGCAGCAGAAGAGGAGAGACUUGGUGGUGGUGUUUGGACCAUGUUUACCAGAAGCAAAGGUAGUGUCAACAGCCCAAAGUAGUUGAGGAAAAAUUUUAAAGGAUCAGAAAGUAAUACUUGCUAAAUGUUCACCUCUGUAGGACUUCAGCCCACUGCUGAAGUUCAGGUACCCAUGAAGGGCUCAGCCCCUUCCGAGUAUUUUAGGACCCAAGACAGUAGAGACUAUUUAAGUAAUUAUAUUCAAUAAGCUUUUUGAGCUUGUAACCUUAGAUGUAUGUACACAAUUCCUGAUUUCCUGUAUGUUAAUGUUAUUUUCCCAAUGAAAACCAGGUAUA